GCGGGUAUAGUUUAGUGGCAGAACGACGGCUUGCCAUGCCGUAGACGGGAGUUCGAUUCUCCCUACCCGCA
rnacentral:tRNA from 1 species